rnacentral:rRNA from 1 species
UACAGAGGGGGCAAGCGUUGUUCGGAAUUAUUGGGCGUAAAGGGCGCGUAGGCGGCCAUCCAAGUCGGGUGUGAAAUCCCUCGGCUCAACCGAGGAACUGCACUCGAUACUGGUUGGCUCGAGUCCGGGAGGGGAUGGUGGAAUUCCCAGUGUAGCGGUGAAAUGCGUAGAUAUCAAGAGGAACGCCGGUGGCGAAAGCGAUUCUCUGGAUCGUUCCUGACACUGAGGCGCGAAAGCUAGGGGAGCAAACAGGAUUAGAAACCCUUGUAGU